AUUAAACGCUGGCGGCAUGCCUUACACAUGCAAGUCGAACGGCAGCACGGGGGCAACCCUGGUGGCGAGUGGCGGACGGGUGAGUAAAGCAUCGGAACGUAUCCUGGAGUGGGGGAUAACGUAGCGAAAGUUACGCUAAUACCGCAUAUUCUGUGAGCAGGAAAGCAGGGGAUCGCAAGACCUUGCGCUCUGGGAGCGGCCGAUGUCGGAUUAGCUAGUUGGUGGGGUAAAGGCUUACCAAGGCGACGAUCUGUAGCGGGUCUGAGAGGAUGACCAGCCACACUGGGACUGAGACACGGCCCAGACUCCUACGGGAGGCAGCAGUGGGGAAUUUUGGACAAUGGGCGAAAGCCUGAUCCAGCCAUUCCGCGUGCAGGAUGAAGGCCCUCGGGUUGUAAACUGCUUUUGUACGGAACGAAACGGUCCUGGUUAAUACCUGGGGCUAAUGACGGUACCGUAAGAAUAAGCACCGGCUAACUACGUGCCAGCAGCCGCGGUAAU
rnacentral:rRNA from 1 species